UACGUAGGGGGCAAGCGUUGUCCGGAUUUAUUGGGCGUAAAGCGCUCGCAGGCGGUCCGAUGCGUCGUGCGUGAAAGACCCCGGCUCAACUGGGGAGGGUCGUGCGAUACGGUCGGACUCGAGGCCAGUAGGGGGACGCGGAAUUCCGGGUGUAGUGGUGGAAUGCGUAGAGAUCCGGAGGAACACCAGCGGCGAAGGCGGCGUCCUGGACCGGCAUUGACGCUGAGGAGCGAAAGCCAGGGGAGCAAACGGG
rnacentral:rRNA from 1 species